rnacentral:rRNA from 1 species
AUGAACGCUGGCGGCGUGCCUAAUCCAUGCCAGUCGAGCGAACGGACGAGAAGCUUGCUUCUCUGAUGUUAGCGGCGGACGGGUGAGUAACACGUGGAUAACCUACCUAUAAGACUGGGAUAACUUCGGGAAACCGGAGCUAAUACCGGAUGAUAUUUUGAACCGCAUGGUUCAAAAGUGAAAGACGGUCUUGCUGUCACUUAUAGAUGGAUCCGCGCUGCAUUAGCUAGUUGGUAAGGUAACGGCUUACCAAGGCAACGAUGCAUAGCCGACCUGAGAGGGUGAUCGGCCACACUGGAACUGAGACACGGUCCAGACUCCUACGGGAGGCAGCAGUAGGGAAUCUUCCGCAAUGGGCGAAAGCCUGACGGAGCAACGCCGCGUGAGUGAUGAAGGUCUUCGGAUCGUAAAACUCUGUUAUUAGGGAAGAACAUAUGUGUAAGUAACUGUGCACAUCUUGACGGUACCUAAUCAGAAAGCCACGGCUAACUACGUG